rnacentral:rRNA from 1 species
ACUAAAUCUAGCCUGACCUAUAUACCCCACAACACAAGUACAAUAAACACAUAAAAUAAAACAUUCACACUUAAAAAGUAUAGGAGAUAGAAAUUUAUUCAAGCGCUAUAGAAACAGUACCGCAAGGGAAAGAUGAAAGAAGGACAAAAAGUACAAAACAGCAUAGAUUACACCUAGUACCUUUUGCAUAAUGAGUUAACCAGAAUAACUUGACAAAAAGAAUUUUAGUCAAACUUCCCGAAACCAAACGAGCUACUUCUGAACAGCUAAUCAAUGAGCAAACUCGUCUAUGUAGCAAAAUAGUGAGAAGAUUCAAAAGUAGAGGUGAAAAGCCAAUCGAGCUUGGAGAUAGCUGGUUAUCCAAACAAGAAUUUUAGUUCAACUUUAAGUUUUCCUAGAAUACUCUCAAAAUUUAAAUGAAAACUUAAAUGCUAACUUAAGGAGGGACAGCUCCUUAAAUAAGGAUACAUCCUUGAACAGAGGGUAAGAAAUAACAUAAUCAUAGUAGGCCCAAGAGCAGCCACCAAUUAAGAAAGCGUUCAAGCUCAACAUAAUUCCUUCCAAAUAUCCCUAAAAUAUCAUUCAACCCCUGAUACAAACAAUUGGAUUAAUCUAUAGACAUAUAGAAGAAAUAAUGUUAACAUUAGUAAUUAGAACUACUUCUCCUUGCACAAGCUUAAGUUAAACCAUCCUAACUAGUUAACAAUUUUAUAACAUAUACAUCUAACUAGCCAACUAUAUAUAUAUAAACUGUUAACCCAACUCAGGAGUGCAACAAGGAAAGACUAAAAUAAGCAAAAGGAACUCGGCAAACAUAAACCCCGCCUGUUUACCAAAAACAUCACCUCUAGCAUAACAAGUAUUAGAGGCCCUGCCUGCCCAGUGACCAUUAAAGUUAAACGGCCGCGGUAUCCUGACCGUGCAAAGGUAGCAUAAUCACUUGUUCUUUAAAUAAGGACUAGUAUGAACGGCUUGACGAGGGUUUAACUGUCUCUUGCUUAUAGUCAAUGAAAUUGACCUUCCCGUGAAGAGGCGGGAAUAAGACAAUAAGACGAGAAGACCCUAUGGAGCUUAAAUUCAUUAAUUCACUUUUACAUUAUUAAUCUACAAGAGACAAAAAACAAAUUAUGAAUUAACAAUUUCGGUUGGGGUGACCUCGGAGUAAAAAGAAACCUCCGAAUGAUAUUAACUUAGACACACAAGUCAAAGUUCCUAUCAUAAAUUGACCCAGUAACUAUCUGAUCAACGAACCAAGUUACCCUAGGGAUAACAGCGCAAUCCUAUUUUAGAGUCCAUAUCGACAAUAGGGUUUACGACCUCGAUGUUGGAUCAGGACCCCCAAAUGGUGCAACCGCUAUUCAAGGUUCGUUUGUUCAACGAUUAAAGUCCUACGUGAUCUGAGUUCAGACCGGAGUAAUCCAGGUCGGUUUCUAUCUAUUAAAAAUUCUUCCCAGUACGAAAGGACAAGAAGAAUGAGGCCAAUAACAUAAUCAUGCCUUAAUAGCAAAAGAAUGAUAUUAUAUCAACUCCUUAACUAUUGAUCCACACGCCCAAGACAAGGGCCG